rnacentral:misc_RNA from 1 species
AUGUAUUCGAAGCCAUCUUGGCCUUACCUAUUACAAAUAUAAAAAGAUUACCCUCCAGGAUUCACUCACAUGGGACACACUCCAUCGACCAAUUCCAUUCAUCACAUUUUUAUCUACGAAUUUUGUUUACCACAUUUCCAUUUACCCUACUUGCCAUAAAUUCUUACUUUCGCUCAACCCAAACAUGCAAGUGUCUUAAAUUAGGUUUCCUUCUAGUCCACAAUUCAUAAGGUGUUUUUGAGACUACCUUAUUAGGAACCCUAUUUAACAAGUAUAUAGUGAUCUUAAGUGCAUACAUCCACAAUGAUAUAGGCAAA